ensembl:processed_transcript
GAGAUUGUUGUCGAGCAACUGACAAAGAUACUACAGCUAAAGGCUUUUUGAGAAGAACCAGCCAACAUGAAGACAGUUCUGUCCGUCGCUUUCCUCGUCGUGGCUCUUUGCCUGGUGUGUGAUGCUGUGGAAGUUAAGGAAGGUGAUUUUUCCUUUACAUUGGAGUCGGUGAGAAUUCUCCAGCAGCUGGCUGAGCAACCGAAGACACAAAACCCUCGGCUGGCCAAGACGAGCUACUAUUCUGUGUGUUCCAAUCCAAGCCUGCCACAAGAGUUUGUUCCCUUGUGCAUGCAGAGAGGAGCUACAAUGUCCUUUGCUAGGCUAGGUAACUUCUAAACUCAUAAAUGAAUGUAUAUUUCAUUGCUUGAUGAACGCAAAUGCCAAUCUAACUGGAGAUAUGUUUUCAUCUGUUUCAGCAUCUGUGCCUGUGGACGUCUGUGAAAUAUGUGCUUUCGCGGCUUGCACCGGCUGCUAAUUCCUCCCGUCCUCCCCCUCGCCUUCAUUAAAGGAAAUCUGCAUAUUUUCAAUCAUUGCCAUAAGUUCACAGAGUUGACCAUAUGAACAUUUGAAUAUUGCCUCAAAGGCAAUCUAAAAAUGGCAGCAGACGGUUGAUGAACUGUUACUUUAACACCCUUCCCCUCUUUUCCUUUCCCAUGUUUUUUUGUUACAGCACAUAUUUCAUUUAUUUAAAAAAGUGUCUUUUUAUUUUUCUAUUUCUCUGGGUUGUGUACUCCUGUGUGUGUGUGGUGAUGCCUCAGUGUUCAAUAAAAUGCAUCAAAUCUGA